rnacentral:rRNA from 1 species
ACGGGGUUUAGUUUGUAGUAAUACACGCUAAAUCCAGUGGCGAACGGGUGCGUAACACGUGAGUAAUCUGCCGGGAAGUGGGGGAUAGCUCGCCGAAAGGCGAAUUAAUACCGCAUAUGACAAGGGAAGACAUCUUUCCGAAGUCAAAGUCGCAAGACGCUUCCUGAUGAGCUCGCGGCCUAUCAGCUAGUUGGUGAGGUAACGGCUCACCAAGGCAAUGACGGGUAGCUGGUCUGAGAGGACGACCAGCCACACUGGAACUGAGACACGGUCCAGACACCUACGGGUGGCAGCAGUCGAGAAUUUUUCACAAUGGGGGAAACCCUGAUGGAGCGACGCCGCGUGGAGGAUGAAGGUCUUCGGAUUGUAAACUCCUGUCAUGCGAGAACAAGAAAGUGAUAGUAUCGCAAGAGGAAGAGACGGCUAACUCUGUGCCAGCAGCCGCGGUAAUACAGAGGUCUCAAGCGUUGUUCGGAUUCAUUGGGCGUAAAGGGUGCGUAGGUGGCGUGGAAAGUUGAGUGUGAAAUCCUAGGGCUUAACCUUAGAACUGCACUCAAUACUCCCAUGCUAGAGGAAUGUAGAGGAGAGUGGAAUUCACGGUGUAGCAGUGAAAUGCGUAGAUAUCGUGAGGAAGACCAGUUGCGAAGGCGACUCUCUGGGCAUUUCCUGACACUGAGGCACGAAGGCCAGGGGAGCAAACGGGAUUAGAUACCCCGGUAGUCCUGGCAGUAAACGGUGCACGUUUGGUGUGGGCGGGCUCAGACCCCGUCCGUGCCGGAGCUAACGCGUUA